rnacentral:rRNA from 1 species
GACGGAGGAUGCAAGUGUUAUCCGGAAUCACUGGGCGUAAAGCGUCUGUAGGUGGUCAAAUAAGUCAACUGUUAAAUCUUGAGGCUCAACCUCAAAAUCGCAGUCGAAACUAUUAGACUAGAGUAUAGUAGGGGUAAAGGGAAUUUCCAGUGGAGCGGUGAAAUGCGUAGAGAUUGGAAAGAACACCGAUGGCGAAGGCACUUUACUGGGCUAUUACUAACACUCAAAGACGAAAGCUAGGGUAGCAAAUGGG